rnacentral:lncRNA from 1 species
AUGCUCCAGCCAAGCACAAGAAGUCUAGAUGUUGGCAAAUCCAGACUUUGUUCAGCAGAUGAACAAGGGCACCAGCGCCCAAAGUUCUUACUGUCUUUCUGCUUUGUCGCCCUCAGGGUGGCAGCCACACCCUUCAAGGUGCUGCUCCAACAGCUUCCAUUCUCUCCUAGGAGGACCUUAUCAGGAAGGAAGGAGAUGAAUGCAGAACAGCCCUUCUCCUCGUGGAGGAAAUCCUUCCCAGGAAUCCAUGAGUCUCACUGGCUAGAGCUGGAUCAUGUAGCUCACCCCUGGGCCAAUCAGAGGCAAGUGAGGUACCAUAUCUGGACUCAGGCCGAUCAUGAUUUUUCCUCUCGAUCUGGGCCCUGGCAACCCAAACAUAGGUGGGAUUCUACUCAGAAGGGAGGAGGAAGAGCUGUUGAGGGGGAGACAGCUCCCAGACCCUUAUUUCUAGCCCUGACAGUUCUGUCAUCUGAUUGCAUCUUCCCAACUGUCUGGACUACCUACCUCAAUGUCCUGUUGCCUCAAACACAGUCUGUCAGGGGGAAAUUCCUUUUCCCAUCUAAUAGGUUUAGCAAACACCUUCAUUGUAAGAGACUGCAUACCCAUAAAAAAAGAAGUAUGGUAGAGCAUUUAAAUUAUUGAUUAGAGCUUUAUCUAAUCAUAAAGUAUGGUAGUUUGAGCAUUCUUUGGCAUUGCCUUUCUUUGGAAUUGAAAUGAAAACUGACCUUUUCCAGUCCUGUGGCCACUGCUGAGUUUUCCAAAUUUGCUGGCAUAUUGAGUGCAGCACUUUCACAGCAUCAUCUUUCAGGAUUUGAAACAGCUCAACUGGAAUUCCAUCACCUCCACUAGCUUUGUUCGUAGUGAUGCUUUCUAAGGCCCACUUGACUUCACAUUCCAGGAUGUCUGGCUCUAGAUGAGUGAUCACA